rnacentral:rRNA from 1 species
UACGUAGGGGGGCUAGCGUUGUCCGGAAUCAUUGGGCGUAAAGAGCGUGUAGGCGGCUCGGUAAGUCCGCUGUGAAAGUCCAGGGCUCAACCCUGGAAUGCCAGUGGAAACUGUCGAGCUAGAGUCCGGAAGAGGCGAGUGGAAUUCCUGGUGUAGCGGUGAAAUGCGCAGAUAUCAGGAGGAACACCAAUGGCGAAGGCAGCUCGCUGGGACGGUACUGACGCUGAGACGCGAAAAGCGUGGGGGAGCAAACAGG